rnacentral:rRNA from 1 species
GACGAACGCUUGCGGCGUGCUUAACACAUGCAAGUCGAACGGAAAGGCCCUGCUUUUGUGGGGUGCUCGAGUGGCGAACGGGUGAGUAACACGUGAGUAACCUGCCCUUGACUUUGGGAUAACUUCAGGAAACUGGGGCUAAUACCGGAUAGGAGCUCCUGCUGCAUGGUGGGGGUUGGAAAGUUUCGGCGGUUGGGGAUGGACUCGCGGCUUAUCAGCUUGUUGGUGGGGUAGUGGCUUACCAAGGCUUUGACGGGUAGCCGGCCUGAGAGGGUGACCGGCCACAUUGGGACUGAGAUACGGCCCAGACUCCUACGGGUGGCAGCAGUGGGGAAUAUUGCACAAUGGGCGGAAGCCUGAUGCAGCAACGCCGCGUGCGGGAUGACGGCCUUCGGGUUGUAAACCGCUUUCGCCUGUGACGAAGCGUGAGUGACGGUAAUGGGUAAAGAAGCACCGGCUAACUACGUGCCAGCAGCCGCGGUGAUACGUAGGGUGCGAGCGUUGUCCGGAUUUAUUGGGCGUAAAGGGCUCGUAGGUGGUUGAUCGCGUCGGAAGUGUAAUCUUGGGGCUUAACCCUGAGCGUGCUUUCGAUACGGGUUGACUUGAGGAAGGUAGGGGAGAAUGGAAUUCCUGGUGGAGCGGUGGAAUGCGCGGAUAUCAGGAGGAACACCAGUGGCGAAGGCGGUUCUCUGGGCCUUUCCUGACGCUGAGGAGCGAAAGCGUGGGGAGCGAACAGGCUUAGAUACCCUGGUAGUCCACGCUGUAAACGGUGGGUACUAGGUGUGGGGUCCAUUCCACGGGUUCCGUGCCGUAGCUAACGCUUUAAGUACCCCGCCUGGGGAGUACGGCCGCAAGGCUAAAACUCAAAGGAGUUGACGGGGCCCCGCACAAGCGGCGGAGCAUGCGGAUUAAUUCGAUGCAACGCGUAGAACCUUACCUGGGUUUGACAUGGAUCGGGAGUGCUCAGAGAUGGGUGUGCCUCUUUUGGGGUCGGUUCACAGGUGGUGCAUGGCUGUCGUCAGCUCGUGUCGUGAGAUGUUGGGUUAAGUCCCGCAACGAGCGCAACCCUUGUUCACUGUUGCCAGCACGUUAUGGUGGGGACUCAGUGGAGACCGCCGGGGUCAACUCGGAGGAAGGUGGGGAUGACGUCAAGUCAUCAUGCCCCUUAUGUCCAGGGCUUCACGCAUGCUACAAUGGCUGGUACAGAGAGUGGCGAGCCUGUGAGGGUGAGCGAAUCUCGGAAAGCCGGUCUCAGUUCGGAUUGGGGUCUGCAACUCGACCUCAUGAAGUCGGAGUCGCUAGUAAUCGCAGAUCAGCAACGCUGCGGUGAAUACGUUCCCGGGGCU